rnacentral:rRNA from 1 species
GACGAACGCUGGCGGCGUGCUUAACACAUGCAAGUCGAACGGAAAGGCCCUGCUUGUGUUGGGUGCUCGAGUGGCGAACGUGUGAGAAACACGGGAGUAACCUGCCCUUUACGUGGGGAUAACUUCAGGGAACUGCGGCUAAUACCUGCUAGGUGCUCCUGCUGCAGGGUGGGGGCUGGAACGUUUCGGUGGGAGGGGCUGGACUCGCGGCUUAUCAGCUUGUUGGGUGGGUACUGGCAUACCAAGGCAUUGACGGGUAGCCUGCAUGAGAGGGUGACCGGCGACCUGAGGACUGAGAUAGGGCGCAGACUGCAACGGGAGGCAGCGGUGGGGAAUAUUGCACAGUGGGCGGACGCCUGAUGCGGAAACGCUGCGUGCGGGAUGACGGUCUGCGGGUUGUGAACCGCUUUCGCUUAUGACGAAGCGUGAGUGACGGUAAUGGGAAAAGAAGCACCGGCUAACUACGUG